UACUAGAGUAGCACUCGCAUAUCAAUAAGCGGAGGAAAAGAAACUAACAAGGAUUCCCCUAGUAACGGCGAGUGAAGCGGGAAGAGCUCAAAUUUGAAAUCUUAAAGGGUUUCCCUUUACGAAUUGUAGUUUAAAGAAGUGUUUUCUGUUGAGGUUUUGGUAAAAGUUCUUUGGAAUAGGACAUCAUAGAGGGUGAGAAUCCCGUAUUUGACCCUUACUUUCAACUUUGUGAUACACUUUCAAAGAGUCGGAUUGUUUGGGAAUGCAGUCCAAAAUGGGUGGUAAAUUUCAUCUAAAGCUAAAUAUUGGCGAGAGACCGAUAGCGAACAAGUACCGUGAGGGAAAGAUGAAAAGAACUUUGAAAAGAGAGUUAAACAGUACGUGAAAUUGUCAAAAGGGAAGCGUUUGACACCAGUGUUGUUUUUCCGAAAAUCAAUUACGAAUGUUUUAUUUUUGAGAAGUUAUGACUUCAUCGGCUUGCUUCUCUCUUUAUGAAACUUUCUUAAUGCACUUUUCGGUUAACAAGUCAACAUCAAUUUCUUUUGUUGUAAAAGGGUAUGAGGAAGGUGGCUUUCUUUUCGGAGAAAGUGUUUAUAGCCUUGUGCCUCUGCAAUCGGAGAGAUUGAGGUCUGCAGCGUAGAUCCUUCGGGGUUAGAUACAUUUGUGCUAAGUUGUAGCUUUUCAUAGACAACUUGUUGACUAUGUUUAGUCUUGUAGCUUACUCGCUGACGCUAUUUUACCUACGCUUAGGAUGUUGAUUCGCGCUCUCACUG
rnacentral:rRNA from 1 species